ACUCAAAGGAAUUGACGGGGGCUCACACAAGCGGUGGAGCAUGUGGCUUAAUUCGAGGCUACGCGAAGAACCUUAUCCUGGGCUUGACAUGGGAGAAGUAGCCCGGCGGAAACGUCGGGUCGCCGGUAUCCAGUCCGGAGACUUCCACAGGUGCUGCAUGGCUGUCGUCAGCUCGUGUCGUGAGAUGUUGCGUUAAGUCGCGUAACGAGCGAAACCCUUGUCUCUAGUUGCCACCAUUCAGUUGGGCACUUUAGAGAGACUGCCGGUGUUAAACCGGAGGAAGGUGGGGAUGACGUCAAGUCCUCAUGGCCUUUAUGCCCAGGGCUGCACACGUGCUACAAUGGCACACACAGAGGGAAGCAAUCCUGCGAAGGGGAGCAAAUCCCAAAAAAUGUGCCCCAGUUCAGAUCGAAGGCUGCAACUCGCCUUCGUGAAGUUGGAAUCGCUAGUAAUCGCAGGUCAGCAACACUGCGGUGAAUGUGUUCCUGAGCCUUGCACACACCGCCCGU
rnacentral:rRNA from 1 species